GGGUGGGGAUUGAGAGAAAUUACUGGUAUGAAAAAAUAGAAAGAAGUAGACUGGGAGGAGCCAGUUCCUUCUCCUUGUACUCUAUGGCUUCCUAAUGGCAGAACAUAACUGCAAGCCUGUGACAAAGGAGGAGGAGAGCUUUCAGGUUUUUGUCCCAUGAGAGCAAAUGAUUGUGGACAUGAAUUUGAGGAACAGUAGUUUAAUAAAAACACAGCAGUGAUAAGAGAUUAGCAAGAAUGUCAUAAAACCUGUAUUUUCAACAGUCUACAUGAUUAAAGUAAUUUGGGAGCAUUGAGAAAAUUAAUUUGUGAUUUUUUUCCUGCUUCCAGAGAUUCUUUUUAUUUACCAUAUUUUUAUUGGUUCAUUACAGUUGCACACAAUGGUGGGAUUUGUUGUUACAUAUUUAUAUGUGAGCACAAUACAGCAAUGGAAUUUGGCCAAUACCAUUCCCUAUUACUUCCCCUUUCCUUCCUAUUUUCCCUCCCCUGCUCUCCCUGGUCAUUUUCCUCUACUGUACUGAUUUCCCUUUAAUGAGCUGUCCAUGGAACCUUUUUUUUUUUUCCUUUUUUCACUCUAAUUUCCACAUGUGAAAGAAAACAUAUGCUCCUUGACUUUCUGUGUUUGGAUUAUUGUGCUUCACAUAAUGUCCUCAAGUUCCAUACUUUUUCCUGUCAAUGACAUAAUUUCAUUGGUAUCUAUGACUGAAUAAAAAGUCAAUUUUCUGUAUAUAUUCCACAUUUUCUUUAUCCAUAAUUCAUUGAUAGACAACUAGACUGGUUCUGAAAUUCAGUUAUUGUGAAUUGUGCCACUAUAAACAUCAGAACGAAUGCAUCACUUUAGCAUGCUGACCUCAAAGCUGUAGGAUAAAUACUGAGGAGUGGGAAUAGCUGGUCGAUAGUGGUUCCAUUCCUAGUCCAUUGAGGAAGCUCCGUUCUGAUUUUCAUAGUAUCCUGCUUCCAAAGGUUCUGUCUUGGUCUGAGAGUUUGGGAAGGCUACUCUCAUUGAGAUACACUUUGAGAAAGAACUAUUGUUUCAGAAAAAAGUUGAUGGUGACAUUGUACAAAAAAUUUCACACCUGAAAUUUGAUGAUCUUAAUUGUAGAAGCAACAAAAGAAUAAAUAAAGCUUUUGGCAGUCCUUAACUUAUAAUUAUAUAACUUAUAAUUAUAGAUAACUUAUA
rnacentral:lncRNA from 1 species